CACGUAGAGGAAAAACUAGCAUUGCUCUGCACAAAAAAGUUACGAUAUGGAGCUAAAGCCAAUACCAAAGGUAGCGCUCGAGACAACAAAAGUCUACGGAAGUUAAACGCUGUCCGUCAGUAAUAAACAUUUCGUCGUUUACUUUUCCCUGAAUUAUUAAUUGAUCCUUGUAAGUAAGCACGAACCAUGGACAUCGCUGCAUCUACAGAAAGCCAACACACCAAAGAACUCCAAGUUUUGGAUUAUGAGCUUCAACAUUUGCAAGAUAACCGAAAGCUGUACCUAAAUCAGCCCAACAGUAAUCUGUAUUUCCUCUGCAAUAAGGCUGAAGCUCUCAGCCACUUGGAAAAGCAAAAGGAAAAGCUUUCAGAAAUGAAAAAGAAAACAUAGGAUAAUUUUUUUUCUUCUUUAAAUCAAACCUCAUGUAGAUAAUACAUUCACUAGCAAAUCUUGUGUAUGUUCAUGAUAUUCAAGAAGCAUUUUUAUUUAUAAGUGUAUUCCUUGCUUUCUCUCUCUCUCUUUUUCUUUUUCUUUUGUCAAUUGGAGUGGGAGAACAAUUUUGUAACUAGUGUACAAGUAAAUUAGUGUGUUGACAUCAAAUUUCAGGCUAAUUUUGAAAUUCUUUAAUUAUUUCAUACAUAUUUGUACUAACUGUUUUAAAACUUGGUGUAUGCUGAGAAUAAAUGUAGUGAGUUAUAAUUCAUUUCAUUGCUUAUAUGCUUUUAGAUAUGUAUAUCUGUAUUCCUUCAUAUUGUUACAUAUGGAUAUGUUUGAAGCUGAGUAUAUGUCAGUAGUCUUCAGAGUAUUUUUAAAUUGAUGCCUCUCAAGUUAUAGGUAUUGUAAAAUCAGCAGGGAAAUUUUAAUUAUUGUUCUGAAAUAAUAGCAAGUUUUGUUCAAAAUCAGAACCUAAAAUGAGAUUGGGUAAUCAUAUCAUAUGUAUUUUGUUAAUGAUUUUGUGUAUGAAAUAAGAUAUAUGGUGUUCCCCAAAUUGCCAAAGAAUUUUGUUCAAAGCUUAGACAUGGAUAUCAAAAUAAAUGUCUUGAAGGCAUUUCUUCGAAUUCUUU